GCGGGUAUAGUUUAGUGGCAGAACGAGUGGUUGCCAAUCACUAGGUAGGAGUUCGAUUCUCCUUACCCGCACCA
rnacentral:tRNA from 1 species